UGGGGAAUCUUAGACAAUGGGCGCAAGCCUGAUGGAGCGACGCCGCGUGGAGGAUGAAGGUCUUCGGAUUGUAAACUCCUGUCAUGAAAGAACAAGCAAUGUGGGUAAACAGCCUGCAAAGUUGAUAGUAUUUCAAGAGGAAGGGACGGCUAACUUCGUGCCAGCAGCCGCGGUAAUACGAAGGUCCCAAGCGUUGUUCGGAAUCACUGGGCGUAAAGAGUGCGUAGGCGGCGCGGAAAGUCAGAUGUG
rnacentral:rRNA from 1 species